UAUCAAAAAGUUCUGCAUUCUUGUUAGAACAUAUGUAACAAAUGACUUCUCUAUUCGUUAUUCUGGAUGUGUGUGUGUGUAUUUCAGUAGCCUAAGCGGCAAGUACAGUUUGAUUAACUGGACUUGAUUCAUAAACUUGCCCCACAGGAGGGAAAGUGAAAAGAGUGGCUGUAUACUGUGAUUAGCAUCACAAAAAGCGUCCAUUGUGUAACCUAAGAUGGCUGGCUGCCUGAAGGUCCAUCCCAAUGCACUUAUUUCAACCAAUUCAUAGAUGAUACUGGCAAUCAGAAGCUGUUGUUCCUGGAGUCAACCCUGAUCACUCCUGGGCUCUCUGGAUAAUAUGAACUAUCAUGUGAUCUCAUCCAGCCUGCAUUCCUAUAAAUGACACUGAUAUGACCAUGGCUCCCAAAAUUCCUGCAUUUCUACCAGCUAUUCAAGACACACACAUUCCUCAGUUGGGAGCUGAGUUGAUGUUGAGUUCUGUCAGGCCUGAUCCGCACCUGACUUAGGAUGGCAUAAAAUAAAAACUUGGCUUACAAAAGCUCAUAUAAGGCUGAAUUGUUGGACCCAUGAAGUCAGUCUAACUUGUGGAUCUUUCAACUGAUUGAUGGAAAGUUGUUCUGGACAACUCAUGUAACUGUGUUUGCUGUUUCCUGAACUGGAAAAUGACCUGAACUCAUGCUACAGAAAUCAAAUAUUUCACCAGAAGCAUUUUGAGCAAAAUACACUACCAAAAAACCUGACUCCCAUCAUUAUGAUUUACACACUCACCAAGGACUACAUCAUCUCUGUUUCACAUCUGGCGUUUCUUCCAUUUCCUUGGGAGCUUCCUUGGUUUGAGUUAGGAACGGUAGAGAUGUUAUCACCCACCUAGUAGCUGCAACUUUCCUGAACUUUGAAAGACAUAAUAGAUAUCAUACAGUUCUUCCCAAAUUGAUAUCAUCAGAGAAUGCAUGCACCUUCUUAAUGCAAAUAAAAACAAGACUGCAAUGACGGAAACCAGAAAUCAGUUUAAUUUCUAUACAAUAUUUAGUGGAGA